UACGGAGGAUCCGAGCGUUAUCCGGAUUUAUUGGGUUUAAAGGGUGCGCAGGCGGGGGAUUAAGUCGGCGGUGAAAUUUUGCAGCUCAACUGUAAAAGUGCCUUCGAAACUGGUUUCCUUGAGUGUAGAUGAAGUAGGCGGAAUUUGUGGUGUAGCGGUGAAAUGCAUAGAUAUCACGAGGAACUCCGAUUGCGCAGGCAGCUUACUAAACUACUACUGACGCUCAGGCACGAAGGCGUGGGGAUCAAACAGGAUUAGAUACCCGUGUAGUCCCU
rnacentral:rRNA from 1 species